rnacentral:rRNA from 1 species
CUCCUUUGACGUUAGCGGCGGACGGGUGAGUAACACGUGGGUAACCUACCUAUAAGACUGGGAUAACUUCGGGAAACCGGAGCUAAUACCGGAUAAUAUUUCGAACCGCAUGGUUCGAUAGUGAAAGAUGGUUUUGCUACCACUUAUAGAUGGACCCGCGCCGUAUUAGCUAGUUGGUAAGGUAACGGCUUACCAAGGCGACGAUACGUAGCCGACCUGAGAGGGUGAUCGGCCACACUGGAACUGAGACACGGGUCCAGACUCCUACGGGAGGCAGCAGGC